UUCAACUUGGCAGAAAAUAUGCAAUAAAUUUAGAAUUUAUUUAUGAUUUAGAAUCAGUUGGAA
rnacentral:tRNA from 1 species